AGCGAACGUUAGCGGCGGGCCUAACACAUGCAAGUCGAACGCGAAAGGUCUUCGGACUGAGUAGAGUGGCGCACGGGUGAGUAACACGUAGGUAAUCUACCCUUUGGCGGGGGAUAACGUUCCGAAAGGAGCGCUAAUACCGCAUAAGACCACGGAGUCUCCGGACGCUGUGGGAAAAGGUGGCCUCUUCUUGAAAGCUACCACCGAAGGAUGAGCCUGCGUCCCAUCAGCUAGUUGGUAAGGUAAUGGCUUACCAAGGCGAAGACGGGUAGCUGGUUUGAGAGAAUGAUCAGCCACGCUGGCACUGGAACACGGGCCAGACUCCUACGGGAGGCAGCAGUGAGGAAUAUUGGGCAAUGGGCGAAAGCCUGACCCAGCCACGCCGCGUGAGUGAUGAAGGCCCUCGGGUCGUAAAGCUCUGUGGAGAGGGACGAAAAACCCUGGUUUCAAAUAGGCUCCAGGCUUGACGGUACCUCUUUAGCAAGCACCGGCUAACUCUGUGCCAGCAGCCGCGG
rnacentral:rRNA from 1 species